rnacentral:lncRNA from 1 species
GGGACUCAUCACCGAUGCUGCUAGUUGACCUACACUUCGGUCAUCUAUCUCUACGUCAGCCACGAUCCUGUAAAUGGAUCUCCGACCUCAUGCUUAGUACCCCUUAUCUUCGUGACAGCACCUGUGCUUCGGGUGACAACCUCUUGCCCCGAUCCUAAUGGCAUUGGCUGUUGAUCUUUACCCCCCAGUGAUCCAUGUGAUGGAUAUCGAGCCCCAUCUACAUGCCUGAAAUGAUAAGUGGGGGACCUCAAGCGGUCCCAUCAAAUCAUAUCACUCUACGUCAAAUCUAGCCACUCUUGAGAAUGGUUGGCUACGCACUGCAUAAGAUCCUAUCAAAUCGUACCACUUUUGAGAAUGGCUCACCGUACGACUCUAGCCACCAAAAACUAGGAUAGGCACCAGGAAUGGCACAUUAGGAGAAGUCGAGAUGGUCUCCCAUGACUUUCUUCUCCAUAACUCAUGUAUUAAAGAGAAAAAUGGGGAUUCUCAAAAGAAAGAUAACGCCAUCCUUCAUACUCUCUCUCUCUCUUAUUUGUUCUAGGUUCCUGACUUAGGCAUCGGAGGAUCUCCACCGGAGUCAACUUCGGUUCGAAAUUUAUUUUGUAGGUUUGGUCGCCACUUAGGUCGGGCGUCGCCGCACUCUAACCUCUCCGAUCCAAGCUAGAAAUUUACUGCAACAGAUUUAACACUAGAGAAAGGACGGCAUCAAAAUCCAGUUUCGAGAAGAGCAUAUGUCGCGCCGCUCCACCACCUCCCACUGAGUUGAGGGAGAGCCACCC